GUUUUAAUAAUUUAAACACAAAAAUAUUGGUCUUGUAAACCAAAAAUAAGGAUAAACCUUUUAAAACU
rnacentral:tRNA from 1 species